CUUUGGGUCACUUGCUGGACUGAGCAUCUGUCUCACUCAACUGAACAGCUGGAGGGAUGCACUCAAAUGAGAGCAGUGUAAUAUGGUACAAUGAGCACUAUGUCAGCCUGCAGAAGUCCUAGCCCAGGCUCUAGGGCCUCCUCUCUCACUGAUCAGCUUGGAGCUAUGGUAAUAAAGCCAAGAUUCAGAGAAAUUAAGCAUCUCAAUGGAAGUCAUGCAGCUACAGGAAGCAGAGUCAGACGGGUCUGACUUCACUGUCUCCAGUGCAUCAUGCUAACCCUCCUGCUUCUCCUCUCUACCUAGUUAGGGGCUUUCUAACAGGCCAGAAGAUUAGAUGAGAGAGGCAUUGCCAUUUUGCACUGAUGCUAUGAUUGUCAACUCCAGGACUCACCACACUAUCUGGCUCAUUGCAUUUUCAUUGAAUGAUAUUUCCACUUCUAUGAUUCGGAUAAGAAUAGUUUAUGUCAAUGUUGAGAGGACACGUAAGUGUGCAAUCACUUUGAACUCUAACAAGAAAAAUAACAUGAUUGUUUAGGUCUUAACAGGUGAUGUUCUAAGACCUGUCAUAUAUUAAUCACAUCAUUCUCAUAAAAAUCCUAUAAGGUAUGACUGUCUAUUUGCAUGGCACACUUGAGAGAUAAAGUCACUUUCUGAAGAUUAUACAGUAAAUAAAUAUGGAGC
rnacentral:lncRNA from 1 species